GCUAAGUGUAGGGGACGAAGAUGCAGUAAUCUAAGGAGAGCUGGGCACCUCUUUGCCUCUCAACCACUACAGCACCUGCAACCUCCUUCAGAGGACUGGAGCUUCAUCAGCUGCAUGAGCAGAGCUGCAAGUGCCUGGGAGUUUAUGCCCUGACCCCAGCCCCCAAGCAGCCUGAAGCCAAUGAUGUCUUGUGCAGGAGUAGGAAAGCUCAGCUCCCUCAAGCGAGGACAAGCUCUAAGGUGCAACCCACACUCUGAAGCCCUCCACAGGAUUAGGCUGAGGCUGAGACUUCACUGGAAAUCCCAUCCUUCCCUGGCUUCUGCCCCUUCCCUGGCCUGCUUCCCCCACUCCCUAGUUCUCCUGGAAGUCCUUCCCCAAUAAAUUAUCAGCA
rnacentral:lncRNA from 1 species